CCUACGGGGGGCAGCAGUGAGGAAUAUUGGUCAAUGGGCGUAAGCCUGAACCAGCCAAGUCGCGUGAAGGAAGACUGCCCUAUGGGUUGUAAACUUCUUUUAUCAGGGAAUAAAGGGAGCCACGUGUGGCUAUUUGCAUGUACCCUAUGAAUAAGGAUCGGCUAACUCCGUGCCAGCAGCCGCGGUAAUACGGAGGAUGCGAGCGUUAUCCGGAUUUUUUGGGUUUAAAGGGUGCGUAGGUCGGUUGUUAAGUUAGCUGUGAAAGUCUGUGGCUCAACCCUAAAAUUGCCGUUGAAACUGGCAGACUUGAGUGCGGUAGAGGUAGGCGGAAUGCGUGGUGUAGCGGUGAAAUGCAUAGAUAUCACGCAGAACUCCGAUUGCGAAGGCAGCUUACUAAACCGCAACUGACACUGAAGCACGAAAGCGUGGGGAUCAAACAGGAUUAGAUACCCUUGUAGUC
rnacentral:rRNA from 1 species